UCAAAAAAUAUAUCAAUAUUGAUUUAAUGCAUAAUUUCCUCAUGUACUAAUAUAUGAUGAUGGUCAAAGAGGUUUGUAACCUUUGUUAUCUCCAUUUUCUAGAGAAUAGUGAUUUUAUAAUGGUUAUUCCACUAAUUUAUGAAGUAUAUGAAGUUUUACUAAAUUAACUUAUAAAAAAUAUUGAACGAUCGUCAUGCACCAUUAAAGAGAGUUUAGCAAACGUUAAUACAAAUGGAGAAUGUGGUUAGAAUUUUAAAACAAUACUAAAGAUUAUAUGGUUCAGUCCACUAAUGGUUAGUCCACUAAUUUAGAAAGUAUAUGAAGUUUUACUAAAUUAACUUAUAAAAAAUAUUGAACAAUCGUCAUGCACCAUUAAAGAGAGUUUAGAAAACGUUAAUACAAAUGGAGAAUGUGGUUAGAAUUUUAAAAUAAUACUAAAUAUUAUAUGAUUCAGUAUAUAAAGCAUUUACCAAAAUUCAAUAUUUUUGUAGGGGUUAACACAUAGAUUUUGAGAAAAAUUCAAAAAAUAUGACGAUAUUGUUUUAAUGCAUAGUUGCAUCAUGCACUAACUUAUGAUGAUGUUGAAAUAGAUUUGGAGGCUCUAUUGUCCCCGUUUUUCAAGAAAAUAACGAUUUUAUAAUGGUUAUUCCACCGAUUUUGGGAGAUCUAUGAAGUUUUACUAAAUUAAUUUAUAAAAAAAUUAAACGAUGCUCAUGUACCAUGAAAGAUAUAUUAGCAUACUUUAAUACAGAUGUAGAAUGUGGCUAGAAAUUUUAAAACAACGUUGAAGAUUAUAGGGUUCAGUAUAUAGAGCAUUUACCAAAACUCAUUAUUUUUGUAGGGGUUAACACAUAGAUUUUGAAAAAAAUUCAAAAAAUAUGACAAUAUUUUUUUAAUGCAUAGUUACAUCAUGCACUAACAUAUUAUGAUGUUGAAAGAGGUUUGGAGCCUCUGUUGUCUUCGUUUCCAAAAAAUAGCUAUUUUAUAGUGGUAAUUCCACCCAUUUUUGGAGUAUUAUGAAGUUUUACUAAAUUAAUUAAUAAAUAAAUUAUAAUGAUUUCCAUAUACCGUGAAAGAGAGUUUAACACACAAUAAUACAAAUGUAGAACUUAUAAAUUUUAAAAUAACACUAAAAUUUUUGGGCUUCAGUAAAUAGAGCGUUUAACAUAAAAUUCAAUAUUUUCGUAGGGGUUACCACAUAGAUUUAAAAAAAUAUAACAAUAUUGCUUUAAUGUAUAGUUGCCUCCUGUACUAAUAUAUAAUAAUUUUCAAAGAGGUUUAAAAUCUUUAUUGUUUUCAUUUCUUUAGAAAAUAGCGAUUUUGUAAUGGUUUGUCUACUAGUUUAGGGAGUAUAUGAAAUUUUACUAAAUCAAUUUAUAAAAACAUUAAACGAUGCUCAUGUGCCAUGAAAAAGAAUUUAUCAUAUAUUAAUACAAAUAUAGAAUGUGGCUAGAAAUUUUAAAACAACACUAAAGAUUAUAUGGUUCAGUAUAUAAAGCAUUUACCAAAAUUCAUUAUUUUUGUAGUGGUUAACACAUGGAUUUUGAGAAAAAUUCAAAAAAUAUAACAAUAUUGCUUUAAUGCAUAGUUGCUUCAUGUACUAAUAUAUGAUGAUGGUCAAAGAGUUUUGGAACCUUUGUUAUCUCCAUUUCUCUUGAGAACAACAAUUUUUAAAAGGUUAGUCCAAUAAUUUAGGCAGUAUAUGAAGUUUUACUAAAUUAACUUAUAAAAAAUAUUGAACGAUGGUCAUGCACUAUUAAGUAGAAUUUAACAUACAUUAAUACAAAUGGAGAAUGUGGUUAAAAUUUUAAAACAAUACUAAAAAUUAUAUGGUUCAGUAUAUAAAGCAUUUACCAAAAUUCAAUAUUUUUGUAGGGGUUAACACAUAGAUUUUGAGAAAAAUU